AAACCAACAGGGAUUGCCCUAGUAACGGCGAGUGAAGCGGCAACAGCUCAAAUUUGAAAUCUGGCGUCUUCGGCGUCCGAGUUGUAAUUUGCAGAGGGCGCUUUGGCAUUGGCAGCGGUCCAAGUUCCUUGGAACAGGACGUCACAGAGGGUGAGAAUCCCGUACGUGGUCGCUAGCCUUUACCGUGUAAAGCCCCUUCGACGAGUCGAGUUGUUUGGGAAUGCAGCUCUAAAUGGGAGGUAAAUUUCUUCUAAAGCUAAAUACUGGCCAGAGACCGAUAGCGCACAAGUAGAGUGAUCGAAAGAUGAAAAGCACUUUGGAAAGAGAGUUAAAAAGCACGUGAAAUUGUUGAAAGGGAAGCGCUUGCAGCCAGACUUGCCUGUAGUUGCUCAUCCGGGUUUUUACCCGGUGCACUCUUCUAUAGGCAGGCCAGCAUCAGUUUGGGCGGUUGGAUAAAGGUCUCUGUCAUGUACCUCUCUUCGGGGAGAACUUAUAGGGGAGACGACAUGCAACCAGCCUGGACUGAGGUCCGCGCAUCUGCUAGGAUGCUGGCGUAAUGGCUGUAAGCGGC
rnacentral:rRNA from 1 species